rnacentral:rRNA from 2 species
UACGAAGGGUGCAAGCGUUAAUCGGAAUUACUGGGCGUAAAGCGCGCGUAGGUGGUUCGUUAAGUUGGAUGUGAAAGCCCCGGGCUCAACCUGGGAACUGCAUCCAAAACUGGCGAGCUAGAGUACGGUAGAGGGUGGUGGAAUUUCCUGUGUAGCGGUGAAAUGCGUAGAUAUAGGAAGGAACACCAGUGGCGAAGGCGACCACCUGGACUGAUACUGACACUGAGGUGCGAAAGCGUGGGGAGCAAACAGG